UACGUAGGAGACGAGCGUUGUCCGGAGUUACUGGGCGUAAAGGGCGCGCAGGCGGCCGCCCGCGUGUGUGGUGAAAGCUCCUAGCUUAACUAGGAGAGGUCCAUGCAGACGGGGCGGCUUGAGCGUCGGAGAGGGGCAUGGAAUUCCCGGUGUAGCGGUGAAAUGCGCAGAUAUCGGGAAGAACACCCGUGGCGAAGGCGGCUCUCUGGGACGGUACUGACGCUGAGACGCGAAAGCGUGGGGAGCGAACAGG
rnacentral:rRNA from 1 species